AUGAACAAAAACCCUCUAAAAUCAGAACAGUAAAUAAGGAACAACACUCUGAAAACAGAGGAAAUUCAGACAUGAAUCAAUCAGGGACAGCUAACGACUCUGAACAAAGGAUUCCUCCAGGCCAUGAAGUUUGCAAGGCCAUUUAAUGUCAAUCAAGGUCAUUAAUUACAACAUUCACACUGGCCUCCAACAGACAAGAGUUCUUUCCCCCACCCUGGACCAUCCACAGAUAUAUAAACCUUCUUUGCUUAGUUUCUCCAUAUACCUCACAACCUCUGACGAUGCCUGCCAUAGAUGUGGGUGAAACAUCAGGAGAGAAUAUUCCUGGAACAUGGCCAUAUAGCCUGGAAAACACUCAACAACCCAAUAGUAUUAUGAUGUCAUAAUUACAUCCUUAUUGCCUAGAAUCCUCUCUGUUAAAGUGCCAAACUACUUAAAACAGGAGCUCCUUAUUACUGGUCACUCCAAGAAUGGAGACUAAAAGAAGAAGCGAAGUAUAUCUUGUCUUCCUUCCCAUUCACCACCAGGCCUUUCCCUAUUGUGUCAUGUCAUAUGAUACAAGACUGAUUCCCAAGGUGGAGGAUUAUAUUGCUAUAGUGAUGGCUCUGAGUAUGGGGAAAAUUGAAAACAGAACAUUGCUGGGUGAAAGUUCCCUAUUGCAAACAUCUGUGACUGAACAAGGAUUUGUGUUUCCAUGUCCUGGAAGAUCAAGGGGAUUUCGUCCUUCUCCAGAUGCACACCUACAGUCUGAGGCAAUGUGUUGGUAACAAAACUAAUAAAAACUCAGUUAGAAACA